CCCCGUUACAUUUGUGGGUUAGUGUGUCCAACGUUUGAUUUUUCAUUUUAUUUAAGAUUAUUUUUAUUUUUAUUAGAUGUUAAAACAUAAAAGUACUUGAUGCAUGACUUAUUUUUUAAUUUUUUUUAUAAAUUUUUAAAUAAGACGGAUGGUCAAACGUUGAAAAUAAAACCCACAACUGUACUUAAA
rnacentral:pre_miRNA from 1 species